AAAAAACAGCAAAACAGCCUUAACUUUUCAUCCAUUUUUAGCAACUUUUUCCAUUUUUCAUAAGUGGCCAAAAAACAGCAAAAAAGUAAGGCUAUAGGCUUAACUUUUCGUCCAUUUUUUAGCGACUUUUUCCAUUUUUGAUAGGCUACAGGCUUAACUUUUCGUCCAUUUUUAGCGACUUUUUCUAUUUCUCAUAAGUGGGCAAAAAACAGCAAAAGGUUAGAUGCUGUUCUUGUUUGUUGUCUGUUCUUUCUUCAAUGUUCUUCUUUGAACAUUGGCUGUAGAUAUGUAGGUACUUGUACCCGAGCCAUUGCUUGUUUUGUUGUUCUGGGUACAAUGAAAUCUGGCAUAAAUCCUGGGGGGUCUAAAUGUUCAGUAUACAUAGACAUUCCAUGUAUGUUCUGUUCAGUAUACUUUGAUAGCUUGAACGAAAGUUUAUAACAAUGAUUUUCUUUGCAAAAACUGUACUUUCGGAAUUCGUCAGCUUCUGAAUUUGAAAACCGAUCUGAAAAGAGAGAACAUUUGAGUGUAUGGUUAUUACAUGGUUAUGAUUCGUUUAUUUUGCCAUUGUUUCCCUGUGUGUAAUAUACUGCCUUGGUGCGCACGCAUUACAAGCGCAGCAACGCAACAGUUUAGACAGGGUCAUGAGGCAGGAUGUGUACAAGAAAAGCUUUGCCAGAGUUUUGUUUUUUCGAAAUAAACGAUUGGAAAUUGCUGUUUGAUUCUUUGUAAUAUCUUGUUAGUAAAAAAGAAAUUUGUCACUUUCCUCAUUUAAACCUUUUUCAAAAAAACUGGCAUCGUUUGUCUUGGGGUUAGGGGUACAAAUGGUACCCAUAGCUUAGAGGGUGCAAAUGGUACCCGUAAGAAGACUUGGUGGAAAUCGUGUUGGUCGUUUGGAUUGGCGAGAAUAAGGCAAUUAUGGUGGCAAAGUUUUUUCAAACAUUUUCUCUCCCGUAGUAAGGUAAAGCAUGUAUUUUCCUGGUAGUCGUUCUUACUUCAUGAAAAACAGUCCGCUACCAGCGACUAGGUCCCCUCUUUUAUGGCGGGAAUCGCGACUCAAGGCGGUUGCAUGCGGAUAAUAUGGUCCGUCGCGAGCGCAAAAUAGUUAGGGAGAUAGACAGUUUAGAAGCGUAAUAAACACUCGCACGAAACGUAAAAAUAAAAUUGCUUAACAAAAUUGCGAAAAAAAACAAAAAAUGACAACUUUGCCAUUUUGAGCGUGCACAAUAGGGCGUUCGCAUGCAUUUAACUUAAAUAAUAAAAAAGCAGUGUCCGUGGUCGGGGCUGAAUAGUACUGUGGAAGAUUGGGUUGCAAAAUUUACAAUUAAGAUCUGUAUUUUUGGACAAUUAUUACUCUUUGAAAAAUAGUAUCCUACUGAUGUAAAAUAACAUCUAAAGGGUUUGGCAACAAUGAUGUCCAAAGAGGAUGUUAGCCCUAAAGUUUAUUUAUCUUUGAAAAUACUGAAUUACAAGACAGUUUAAAAAAAUUUCGAGUAAAAGUUUAAUAAUAUGAUUGAAUUGAUAAGGCCAUUUCCACUCAAGAAAAUUUGAGGCUAAUAUUAGACUUAAUGCAUAUGUCGUUCUUUGUCUUGCGUUUAAAGGAAAAAUACGAAACUCUCUUAACGUCUUUGUUGCCAGCAGUUGGUGUAACUUUCAUGA
rnacentral:lncRNA from 1 species